rnacentral:rRNA from 1 species
ACGGCGUGCCUUUUGCAUAAUGAGCCUACGAGUUAGUCGUCACCAGCGAGGUUAAGGGCUUCAGGCCCGUCAGCCGAAGUGAAAGCGAGCCUUAACAGGGCGUAAAGUUGGUGGCGCUAGACGCGAAACCUUGUGAUCUACCCACGAGCAGGUUGAAGUCGCGGUAACGCGUGAUGGAGGACCGAACCGGUAAACGUUGAAAAGUUUUCGGAUGACUCGCGGGUAGGGGUGAAAGGCCAAUCAAACUGGGAAAUAGCUCGUACUCUCCGAAAUGCAUUUCGGUGCAGCCUGUGAUGUUCUGUUCCAGAGGUAGAGCUACUGGUUGGACGCGAGGGCUUCACCGCCUAUCAAAUCCGGAUAAACUCCGAAUGCUGGAACACGAAAUCAUGGAGUGAGCCCGCGGGUGCUAAGGUCCGCGGACGAGAGGGAAAGAACCCGGACCACCGGCUAAGGUCCCGGAUGGACAGUUAAGUUGAUCAAACGAGGUGGGAUCGCGGAGACAGCUAGGAUGUUGGCUUGGAAGCAGCCAUUCAUUUAAAGAGUGCGUAACAGCUCACUAGUCGAGCGAUCCCGCGUGGAUAAUACACGGGCAUCAAACUGUCAACCGAAGCCGUGGGGUUAGCUUGAUGGCUAACCGGUAGGAGAGCAUUCCUGCCAGCUUUGAAGGUCACCCGCGAGAGUGACUGGAGCGGCAUGAAAAGCAAAUGUAGGCAUAAGUAACGAUAAUGGGGGCGAGAACCCCCCACGCCGCAAGACCAAGGCUUCCCCGGCAAUGUCAAUCAGCCGGGGGUCAGCCGGCCUCUAAGGCUAACCCGAAGGGGGAUGCCGACGAGAAACGGGUUAACAUUCCCGUGCUUCUCGUCACCGUGACGCGGUGACGGGGUGAUGAAUGGACCGCGCGCAGACGGAAUAGCGCGUUGAAGGCCGUACCCUUUGAGGGUGGUAGUCAAGCACGCCACCGGAGGCGACAGCCGAUAGUACCUCGAGGCCUCGGCCGAGGGGAUAGCGUCCAGGCAAUUAACCCCCUAGAAAACCCGCUAAACUUCAAGUGACGAGGAACCGUACCGUAAACGGACACACGUGGUCGGGUAGAACAUACCAAGGCGCUCGAGUGAUUCAUGGUCAAGGAACUAGGCAAAAUAGUCCUGUAACUUAGGGAAAAGGACGCUCUAGUGAUAGAGCCGCAGAGAAAUGGCCCAGGCGACUGUUUACCAAAAACACAUGGCUAUGCCAAAUCGAAAGAUGACGUAUAUGGCCUGACACCUGCCCGGUGCCGGAAGGUUAAGAGGAGAGCUCAUCAGUAAUGAGAAGGUUUGAAUUGAAGCCCCGGUAAACGGCGGCCGUAACUAUAACGGUCCUAAGGUAGCGAAAUUCCUUGUCGGGUAAGUUCCGACCUGCACGAAUGGUGUAACGAUCUGGGCACUGUCUCGACCAUGAGCUCGGUGAAAUUGUAGUUCCGGUGAAGAUGCCGGGUACCCGCGACGGGACGGAAAGACCCCGUGAACCUUUACUGCAGCUUCGCGUUGUUCCCGGGCACGGGACGUGUAGGAUAGGUCGGAGGCUACGAUUCGGUUUCGCCAGGAAUCGAGGAGCCAUCGUUGAAAUACGACCCUUCUCUUGUCUGGGAUCUAACCCAGGUAAGGGGACACCGCGUGGUGGGUAGUUUGACUGGGGUGGUCGCCUCCAAAAGCGUAACGGAGGCUUCCAAAGGUACCCUCGGGUUGGUUGGUAAUCAACCUCAGAGUGCAAUGGCACAAGGGUGCUUGACCGGGAGACCAACGAGUCGAUCGGGUGCGAAAGCAGGGCAUAGUGAUCCGGUGAUCCCGCGUGGAAGGGUCAUCGCUCAAAGGAUAAAAGGUACUCCGGGGAUAACAGGCUGA